AUUGAACGCUGGCGGCAUGCCUUACACAUGCAAGUCGAACGGCAGCACGGGGCAACCUGGUGGCGAGUGGCGAACGGGUGAGUAAUGCAUCGGAACGUACCUUUCAGUGGGGGAUAACGUAGCGAAAGUUACGCUAAUACCGCAUAUUCUGUGAGCAGGAAAGCAGGGGAUCGCAAGACCUUGCGCUGAUUGAGCGGCCGAUGUCAGAUUAGCUAGUUGGUGAGGUAAAGGCUCACCAAGGCGACGAUCUGUAGCGGGUCUGAGAGGAUGAUCCGCCACACUGGAACUGAGACACGGUCCAGACUCCUACGGGAGGCAGCAGGGGGGAAGUUUGGACAAUGGGGGCAACCCUGGUCCAGCCAUGCCGCGUGAGUGAAGAAGGCCUUCGGGUUGUAAAGCUCUUUCGGCCGGGAAGAAAUCGCACGGGCUAAUACCCUGUGUGGAUGACGGUACCGGAAUAAGAAGCACCGGCUAACUACGUGCCAGCCGCCGCCGUAA
rnacentral:rRNA from 1 species